GAUCAAACACUACAGGAAAAAGGUAAAUCUCUCCCUCUCAUAUCAAAGGGUAAACCUCCAAUACCCAAAUUCGUUUGUAGACCCAACCCGUCCAAAUCCCUCAACCUCACACUAGCAAAAACCACCGGCAGAGGCGUCGAUUGCAGAUCAGCCGCCGUCAAUUCCAAGAGCCACUCUCCAAUUCCUCGGCCUUUCCUUCUCCGCUGCUGAUAAACAAUAACCAGCCCGACUUUGUCGGUGAUGAGAAUAUGCCCUUGGAAGGUGUCAUACUGUCAUUCAGUUCGACAAGCCCAGCUCCUCUGCUCGAAUCAGAAAAUGGGGAUGAAUCCUGGUAUGGUUUUGGUUGAUGCUUUUGGUCAGAUACUUGGAUUCUACAACCUUCUGAGAGGAAAAGUAGUUGCUAGAAAUGAUGGUAUGUGACCAAGUCUUUAUCAGGAAGCUGCUACUGGUUUAAUUGCUGGAGCAGCUGGAGUGUAUCUCAGCUUUCCAUUUGCUGUAGCUUGUCAACAUAAGCAGGUUGAAUCCAUGGGACCAAUUGCAGAGCGUUCGAGAAUCAUAAGUAAAAGUGUGUUACAAAUAUUGAGAUAUGGAGGCCCUUGGUUGAAGAGAGGAGCUGGGUUAGGCCUGGGUGCGAGGGCUAUUUCAGCAUUCUGUGCCGCUGCUUGAGCUGAACUAGCACAACAAGCUAGCUCCUUCAAUUCUGCGCGUCAAACUCUAAACAAAAGGACCCGUUGCAUUCUGUGAUUCAACUGAGUUUGAAGAGUCGGUUGCACAAGUAAGCUAUAUUGCUUUCCUUAGCAUUGGAUGUUGGACCUAUGAUAGCCAGUGAAAGACUGGAAAUUGAUGAUGAAAUUAAGGAUCAUGACAUACGGUCGUGCCUUCUGUUUUCUGAACCAUUUCUACUGCUGGUAUAUGACCAAAUGACACAGCUUGCAUCAGUCCACGCACAAUGCAAUUGACUUGUGAUACCAGCCCCAGCCAUCAAUGAUGCGUAUCGACUCGAAAUGCCUCAAAUUGUUCCAGAUUCGCAGCUGAACUGAAAGGGUUGGUUUCACUUACCAUUAUCUAGUUUGAUGGUUAUGUUGUUGUCUACUUUGAGUUAGUCCUCAAAGCAUUUUGAUGGAAAUUAUUCUUAGACAAGGAUUAUGUUGUUAAAGGGGGAAAAUCUUAGUGAUAUUUCACCUUCAACAACAAUGUAUUCUAGAAAGCAGCUUGUUUUUGUAAUCCCAGAAUUUACUUUGGUACAAAAUGUAUUUUGCUAGGAAUGUAAAUAAGAUCUUGCUAUGAAUGUAAAAUUUAAUAUUUUCGAUUGAGUUGUGGAUUUGUUCACUUCAUUGUAAAUAUUUGAAGUAUAUUUAUUGUAGAGAAAUAAAAGUAUUAUUAUGUUCA